CUCACCAUCCUCUUUCUAUGUCUCUCUCCCUAUCUGUUUAUAUGUCUCUUGCUUUUGUCGACCAAAAUGAUUCAGAAAAAAUACAAGGCGUAACUAAACGAAAAAAAACGUUCACGCAGAGUUGGAACAAUAGAUACAAUUCACAAUGGACAAUGAAUAGGGGAGCUGCACUGUUUGGGUUUCUGUACACGUUCACGACAGCCGGGCGAGUGGAGGGAACUAACAACGGACUUCAACAGAUUCACUCCGAGCCUGUGAGAAAAUUCUGUGUGAGGCUGGAUGCUAACAGAAAUCAGGGGAUCGUUCUGCCUCCAAACUUUAGCUGUCACAGAUCACUCAAGCACGAGUAAUGGCGGUGUCUGAAAUAAAUAGCUCCGGAUGGGAUGAACUCACAAUGUUGUUUUUGCUUUCUUACAAAGUGCUACGGUGAAAGAGAAGCUGGGUUUUCACCCUUAGAUCGUCAGCUCCUAUACUAUUUCAGUCUUAUCGUGAAUGCUGAAGAGUAUUUUGUUUGCUACGAAUAUUAACAUGUUUAAAGUGGACCUUAUUUCUGGUAGGCCUAUCGUAAUGGAUUAUCCUUAAAGGCCUUGGCAUGGAGCUGUAUUGCACAGCUAGAGAGAUGCCAGUCCUGGACACAUUCAAUUUAAAGCCUUGGAAUGGCCAAUGACAGCUGGGUGGGCAGAUUACCUGGGAUCUGUGGGAUGGCCAUGAUACACAGGAGGAGGAGCGGGCGUGGGAGGAGGAGGAGGACGGUGUCUGGGUGGAAGAGUGAACUUGGAGCAGGCGAGCACAGCUGUUGAUCGCCACGGGCUCUCCGCUUCCUCUCCUCCUCUGGCCCCCUCUCCCAGUCUUUGGGUCUCAGGGAGCCGGUCGAGGCCAAGCAGGGAGCGACGGAGUGGGCAGGCGAGGCGGGCUGCUAUCCCCGCCGGCUACCCGCGCCCCAGUAGCAAGCAGCGGGAGAAAUCAAUACGGAGGAAAGAGGCUGCUAGGGGUCGCCCAACACAGCCCCCGGCCACCGGAGCCCAGGGACCUCCCAGCUCUCAGCUCUCCCCCAGCCUGGUCCCAGCCAGCGCGCAUCAGGCCUGGGCUCAACCCUCAGCCGCUGUGUGUGUGUGUGUGUGUGUGGUUCCGCCCAAGGGGCUCUUCGGCCCUACACUGCCUCAUAAAAGUUUGCCAGAAAAUGAAUAAAAAAGAAAGGCAAAGGUCCUUGUUUUGCUAUUUUUUUCUGAUUACACAUUCCCCUUGACUGUUUGCAUGAGAAUUCAGCACGGAGCUCUCUGACAUCGAAGUGAGCAGCCUCCUUACUUUAGCCCUCCUCCAAGCAUGUAUCAUAAGCUCUGCAUCGGAUGAACCAGGCUAAAAGGACUUUGUGAAAAAAAAUAUUAAUAGCGAUCUCUCAGCUAAGGCAAGGUUCAGAUCUGCAUUUCACCCCUAAUUUUCCUUCACUCACUCCUGCUGAUCCUACCAGGAUGCAUGAGGAAUGACAUUGAAUAUUUCCUGUGGGGCAAAUUGCUUAAUUUCAUAACACAAUGGAUUUCAGGUUAUGGACCCUGUGGAGAGGUUAUUCCCAAAAAGCUCAGCCAGGACAACAAAAGUGCAAAAGUCAAACUGAAACAAAGGCGGAAACAAAUGGACUACGAGCACGUUGCCAACGUAGUGGCAUCUUCAUCUGUCUGAAAGCAACAUGUGACCUUUCUCAACUGCCUUUUUAAAGUGAUGCUCUCUAACCUUUUGAUGAUUUUGAAAUGCUCUCCAAUCUGCACUUUGUGGUACACACCUGCAGGCAAACAAACACUGUGGAAUGAGGAUGGACAUAUUCUUUUGUUAUUUUACCAAAGUGUCUGAAGCAAAUUACAAAGAUCCUGUCAUGAAUUUGAAUUGACCCCUGCGAAUGGGAGAUGCUGGUCCUGACCGGAGAGAAUACACCGUCAUCGCAGUGAGCGCAGGGUGAAAUGGACCUCCACGAGGAGUCGGGGAGAGCGAGCUCUGGCUAGCACGGGCACAACCUGCUGAGCGAGGGGGAGGCUCCACAAUGCCUGAUUCACAUGGCACAGUGAAAGCUGGUUGCAGAUGAAACCCAGAAUGGCACUACUCAGGAUGGCCCCAAAGCAAACACGUCUACAAUAGACAGCACUGUGUCACAGGUCUUAACUCUGGGCACGUCGCCAAAGGAUAGCCACUGUGUUUAACCCCAAACCAAACAGUGCCUCUGUCUGUGGACUCUCUGUCUGCGGUUCUGGACAGCUGUGAAGGGCAGAGGAAGCUAAGGCUUCUGAUAGCUCAGAUAUAUCCGCAUGUACAUCUGAAAUGAACAUGAUGCCUUAGACACUGCUACAUCACACUAGGAGUAUGUCCCAGGAACGGUAAGUGACUUCUAUUGCUGGAAAAAGCAGGUGAGUAUUUAUAUAAAGUUAAGCUUUUAUUCACAUAAAAUCGGUGUAGCUUCUAAUGUAAUAGAAUAUUUUAAACAUCUAAUAUUUCUGUAUCCUCCAAUACUGUAACAAAAUAAUCCACAAACCUGACUUGCGCACACUUCUCAGGAGAGUGGCAUAGAAUAUGUAAGUAUAGAUUUAAAUGAUCCCCAGACUAAACAGACUGUGAUAAUAUCAAACCAGAAGGAUUAACAGACACCAGACACUGAUUGCCUGCAUUAGCAGCGGCAGAAAGCUCCUUUAUUUUGACACUGGAAUAUUCAUGGCCAGACCUCUUCAGUUCCCAAGGGGUCCUUCAUUGCCGUCAAAUGAUGGUUGGCAGCACAGGAAGUCGUUCUGCUGUAUCCCUCAUCAACGUAUUUUGUAGAUUAAUGACAGCUCAAUUUAUUUAUUUGCUUGUGGAUUUGUACCCAUUCAUGUAAUCAUGUCACAAAAUAUAGCUUUACAAGCUUAUC